ACGAACAUGGCAGACUAGUGCAGAAGGCUUAAGACCUUCAUAUAAAGUUACCCAAAGCUUUUAUUCGUA
rnacentral:tRNA from 1 species